rnacentral:rRNA from 3 species
UACAGAGGGUGCAAGCGUUAAUCGGAUUUACUGGGCGUAAAGCGUGCGUAGGUGGUCUUUUAAGUCGGAUGUGAAAUCCCUGAGCUUAACUUAGGAAUUGCAUUCGAUACUGGGAGACUAGAGUAUGGGAGAGGAUGGUAGAAUUCCAGGUGUAGCGGUGAAAUGCGUAGAGAUCUGGAGGAAUACCGAUGGCGAAGGCAGCCAUCUGGCCUAAUACUGACACUGAGGUACGAAAGCAUGGGGAGCAAACAGG